rnacentral:rRNA from 1 species
AGCGACGAACGGGUGAGUAACACGUAGGUGAUCUGCCCAUCAGACGGGGACAACGAUUGGAAACGAUCGCUAAUACCGGAUAGGACGAAAGUUUAAAGGUGCUUCUGGCACCGCUGAUGGAUGAGCCUGCGGCGCAUUAGCUAGUUGGUAGGGUAAAGGCCUACCAAGGCGACGAUGCGUAGCCGACCUGAGAGGGUGAACGGCCACACUGGGACUGAGACACGGCCCAGACUCCUACGGGAGGCAGCAGUAGGGAAUCUUCGGCAAUGGGCGAAAGCCUGACCGAGCAACGCCGCGUGAAUGAUGAAGGCCUUCGGGUUGUAAAAUUCUGUUAUAAGGGAAGAACGACUUUAGUAGGAAAUGGCUAGAGUGUGACGGUACCUUAUGAGAAAGCCACGGCUAACUACGUGCCAGCAGCCGCGGUAAUACGUAGGUGGCGAGCGUUAUCCGGAAUUAUUGGGCGUAAAGAGCGCGCAGGUGGUUGAUUAAGUCUGAUGUGAAAGCCCACGGCUUAACCGUGGAGGGUCAUUGGAAACUGGUCGACUUGAGUGCAGAAGAGGGUAGUGGAAUUCCAUGUGUAGCGGUGAAAUGCGUAGAGAUAUGGAGGAACACCAGUGGCGAAGGCGGCUUCCUGGUCUGUAACUGACACUGAGGCGCGAAAGCGUGGGGAGCAAACAGGAUUAGAUACCCUGGUAGUCCACGCCGUAAACGAUGAGUGCUAAGUGU